CCCCUCUCCAGGACCACCCUCUCCGGGCAGGCUGACAUAGGAGCACCAUGUAGAGCAUGUGUGCAGGCAGGGACCAGAGUAUCAACAAUACAAGUGGUAUGUGCUGGCAGGUGAUCUGCUGGCCAUUCCCAAUGGGAUCACUUCUAGCCUUCGAUUCAGAGUCAUUUGAACACACAUGUUGUAGUGCACUACACACACGCAGCAGCAACUGGACUGAGCAAGAGGACUGCUCACAGGAUGAGGCUUCAGGUGCUCAAGCAAUCUAUUCAAGUUUGCAAACAUUUUGAAGCCAGGACCUGGCUCCUCUGCUGGUAAAGCAGCUGGCACAUGCACUGAAUACACAGAUGGACAAAAGCACUUAAAAAGCUCUGCUACAGACAAGAAGACAACCUGAUAGAUUAAUCCAUCCCAGCAAAAUAUUUCCAUCUCUACUAUCUGUCCUUGUCAGUGAACAGUAGAUGCUGAGUUUUAUCAAUAAGACUGAGCUUGAUCUAACUGCUGCAGAGCCUUUUGGAGUUCUAUCAUUUCAGCUUCCAAAAAUAUUUAAGCUAAUUCAAGAAAUUUCUCAAACCUGAACGUUGCAUUUCAUCUUUCAGAGGAAAUGAUUCUGAGUGCUGCAUGUGGAGUAUUUUCAGCUCUGAGGUUUGAACUCAUGGUAGUAAUUGGAAAUGUGAAAUUUUUUAAGUAAGCUAAGUUUGGGCCCUGAAACUUUACUCUCCGAGGCAUGUUUAUAUAUAUACUCUUUCACAGAGACAGUGUGUUCCAAAUUGUCCAGUCCUCCCAUGAACUGGAAAUGUAGCACUUGUACCAAUAAGAAGGACAUGACUGCUUUUCUGGGUUUUUGGAUUCUAACACUUCUUUAUGCAGUUGUUUGCCUCCAUCCAAGUAGCAAAGUUAUUUCAUAAACAUAAAGUAUUUUCAUGAUGAAAUUUUAAGGAUGAUCAUUCAUUGCUUUGUUCUCCAGUUCAUUUUUUUCAGUUUCUGUGGUGAAAAGCACAUGAUAUCCAUAGUAAAUUCCUUGCCAAAGUUAAAAUAUAUUCCACUCUCAAUUUUCCAGGAACUCAAAAUGACCACAUUUUACUUCAAGAAACAAAAAAGUGACAUUCUGAAAACAAGAAAGUGUCCGAGGCCCCAGAUAAUUUCAUUUUCUGUGGUUGGUUAGAAGAUUCCAUUCCCUGAAAUCUGUGGUCUGCCCAUUGGCUUCCACAGCUUUGUUAUCUCCUUGUUGCAUUGUGAGGUAAUACAAAUAAUGUCAGCAAAAUUGCUAAUAAGCAUGUUAAAUAAGUAAUGCACUUGAUGUGAUGCUUCCAGGACUUGGCAGAUGCCAGUUAGCACACAAUCUACACACCCAAGAUAUCCUCAGCACGCUAUCUCUAAGAAAAAAAUCCAAAUUACUUUUGUUGUCGCAAGGUUCCUGAACAAUUAAUCAUAAAUCAAGAUCCUACAUAGGUCUCUAAUGCACACUGCAGCCUGCACCUACUACCUGAAGUCCUCAGCUAAUAGUUCAUGUUUUCAGCACAAUAAAACUCACAAAGGCA
rnacentral:lncRNA from 1 species